GGGAGUUGUGAUAUCGUGGUUCCUGGGAGGUGUGAUCCCCUGCUUCCUGGGAGGUGUGAUCCCGUGCUCCCU
rnacentral:pre_miRNA from 1 species